UUUUAUUUAUAUGGUGUCCUAGUUUAAUUGAUAUGUAUUUUUUAUAUUUUGAUUGGAAAUUGGUAAAAAAUUAACAGAAAGAGGUUAUAAUUUGAUGAGAAUUGGGGUUAAGUUGGGUUUGCAUCUGAAUUUUGAGGAUGAAUAAGGUCAAAGAGGUAUUAAUUACUUCGGAUUUAUCAGAAUUUUAUGCUAUAAGUACAUCGAAUUUUAUGUAUAAUUUCUUUACUCCUAAACUAUAUUGUCCUCUUUUGCGAUAUGAAUAAUGUGGUGUGUUCGAGUUAUAAUAGGGUUUGAGAAUCGAAACCUAUAAUGUUCCCUCUUAAUUUGCAUACUUAUGUGAAGGUUUUAUCUCAACCAGGGGGCUGGAAGUGUCUGGGAUUUUCUUCAAUAUUUAAGAACUUGUCUUUGGUCCUUUGCUUUCAAGAAUAACUAUUUUUCAUACUGGACUGGACUUUGUAAAAUGAAGAGUAUAUAUAUAACUGAACAAAUUAUUGCAAGGUUAGGGGAUGAUCGGUCUGAAGGCAGGAGUUGCAGGGGCUGAUGGGUUAGAUAUGGGUUGUUUUUUGGAUUGUAGAGUUAGGGUCAGGGUUGGGGUGCUGGUCUGGUCUGAAGUCUUGGUCACGUAUGAUGGGUCCGAAGGCAGGGGUUGCAGGGGCUGAAAUAUCUUCAGUGUAUGUAGCUUUGUUGAUUAUUAACUUUCUUUAUUUUGCUUCCAAGUAAUUUGCAAUUGUUAGGUGUUUUGAGGUUGUUUUUUUUGUGUGCUAGGCUGUUGAUAGUCUUUUCAAGUUUGCUAUUGGUGCCCUUUUCAGCAGCAGAGUUUGACUGCAGGCCUCACUCAGGUAGGCCUCACUCAGAAUUGCAGCCUUGGGCCUUCUGCUAGCUGCUAGUCUGCUACUGAAUGAUCAAAUAAUUGCAGACCUUGUUCGACCAUCUGGGUGGAUUUUGUAUCUUCUAUUUUGCAAUUUUAGGUCUUGUGGAAGGUUAUUGGUGUCAAGUCAAACAUCUCCCAAGUUGGUUUUGACUCAAUCCGUGAGAUGAUAAAUGGACUGGUAAAGCGAUCCUUCUUUAGUUGAUAAACCUGGUCACCAAAAUCUAUCUUGACAUGAGAAACUGCUGUUAAAUAAGCUGUCUCUGUAGAUUCUUUUUGGGUAAUAGUGGGAAGUAGAGGUUAACGUUCUUUAGUUUCAAAAGCUUCAUUGCGCAAAAUUUAAUGGUUUUAUUUGUGUAGAAUGGGCUUUGUGUGCCAUCGUCUAUUGUCAAGUUCAAAUAAGUAGGGAAACUGAAGGGUUACGGUCUGGAGUUCGUUUGAAAUAUGAAGUGGUGUACUGUACAAACAAGAAUUAUUGUAAUUGUCAAGUUCAGUUGUAUGAGUGCCUAAUAAUGUUGUCUGCAGGGGUUCCCUAAUAGUCUCCCCAGUUUACCUCUUUUAGGAAGGAUUCUCUUUUUGGAGUACACUUCCUGAUACUGUAUGAACUGUCAAACCUUACAUUUUUUCCAAAUAAUUUAUUGUCGUUCUAUAUUUGCUUAAUAUUUUUAAUCAAUUCUCCAGGAAUUUAGCGAGUUUGUUUUGUCUGAUAAUUUUAUCCUUUACUUUAUAACUCUAUUUAAGACGCUUAAACAUUCAUAGUUUUUCUCGAACAAGACUAAGGCUAUUAGUCAUUUGCAACUGGUGCACUUUCUCCGCAGCAACUGAUGUGCUUGGGGUAAGUGGUUGAGUUGGGUUCUGAUCUUUAGAUUAACUUGUAUAUGCAUCUUCUAAUGAUCUUCUAGUGUAGUUAUCAUCAGUUCUUGUUCGUGUACUAACUGUGUUAAGGCUGCUAGAACAUUCUUUACGGGACUUCUAAUGAUCUGCUAGAACAUUAUAUUCUUUACAGGGCGUGGACUUCUCUUAAUUUAUUUUUACACUGUAGGAGAAACUAUUACUUACCGUUUUUCUUCUUUAUUUAAGGUGGCCAUUUGAAGAUUAUGGUGGUGGAAGAAAAGAAUCAAGGGAUGCAUGCAUAGCUCCUUCAACUAUGAAGCUCAUAUUCUUGAAGUUAUAGGCUUUGAGUGACCUUCCUUUGUUUUGAAGAUGACUUUUAGAAUAAUAAGUUGGAAUUAUCUAACAGACGUGAUGUUUUGGUAUUAAAUUUUUGUUUUGGAGAUACUAGCUAAUAAAUAGUUUCGAUAAUGUGUAAAUUUAAUUCGAUGAUAUAUAUAAAGUGAGUACGUA